GACGAACGCUGGCGGCGUGCUUAACACAUGCAAGUCGAACGGAAAGGCCCUGCCUUUGGGGGGUGCGCGGGUGGCGGACGGGUGAGUCACAGGUGAGCUGCCCGCCCUUUAUUUUGGGGUAACGUCAGGUAACUGGGGCGAAGGACAGGACGGAGCGACUCCUGUAUGGUGGGGGUAGGAAAUUUUUGGCGGUUGGGGAUGGACUCGCGGCUUAUCAGCUUGUUGGUGGGGUAGUGGCUUACCAAGGCUUGGACGGGUAGCCGGCCUGAGAGGGUGACCGGCCACAUUGGGACUGAGAUACGGCCCAGACUCCUACGGGAGGCAGCAGUGGGGAAUAUUGCACAAUGGGCGGAAGCCUGAUGCAGCAACGCCGCGUGCGGGAUGACGGCCUUCGGGUUGUAAACCGCUUUCGCCUGAGACGAAGCGUGAGUGACGGUAAUGGGUAAAGAAGCACCGGCUAACUACGUG
rnacentral:rRNA from 1 species